AUUGAACGCUGGCGGCAGGCCUAACACAUGCAAGUCGAACGAGUGGCAGACGGGUGAGUAAUGUCUGGGAAACUGCCUGAUGGAGGGGGAUAACUACUGGAAACGGUAGCUAAUCCCGCAUACCAUCGGAUGUGCCCAGAUGGGAUUAGAUAGUAGGUGGGGUAACGGCUCACCUAGGCGACGAUCCCUAGCUGGUCUGAGCGGAUGACCAGACACACGUGAACGGAGACACGGUCCAGACUCCUACGGUAGGCAGCAGGGGGUAAUAUUGCACAAUGGGCGCAAGCCUGAUGCAGCCAUGCCGCGUGUAUGAAGAAGGCCUUCGGGUUGUAAAGUACUGUCAGCGAGGAGGCGUUACUCGCAGAAGAAGCACCGGCUAACUCCGUGCCAGCAGCCGCGGUAAUUC
rnacentral:rRNA from 1 species